AAAAUGUGUAGGUGGAGAAUACCGUUAAGGGCAGAGAGUCCCGAGGCCCUCCAACAAUUAGUCAUCUGAGAGACGAAAAGUAUUCAAGAACCACAGAAGUGACCAAUGAGGUGCACAGGUAUGGGUUUCGAGUCGCAAGAGAGCUGGAAUCAUCUGUGACUGACGGUUUGCUGAGUACAAUGGAACAAGGAGGAGGGGAAAAACAUUUAGAGUCCAAGGAAUUCACUCACCUGACUGCCAGGGGCCUGGCUGCUUUGGUACAGGUGCCAAGUAACUGGCUCACAAGGACUGUGGGUUUUGCCAGCUCCCCGACCAGGGAUUGAACCUGUGCCCUCAGCAGUGAAAUCGUGGAGUCCUAACCAUUGGACCGCUAGGAAAUUCCCUGGUAUGCUAAACCUAUUUUUAUUACUGCCUUUAUAAAAUGGAAAUCAGUUUAGACUUUGAUCAACUUUGAGUAAUUAAAAGAUUAGCUAAAUAGGUUUUAGAAAAAAGUAUACCUACAAAGAAGGAGAUACGUGGAUAAAAAUAUUAAUACAAAGAUGACAGAGCCUUUAUUUUAGGAGGGAAACAUGCCAAAGACUAAAAGUGAAGUAUUUACUUGGUACUGUAAGCCACAAACAAAAGCAUUUUGAGUUUCAAGGUAUUAAGCUUUAGAAUUU